rnacentral:rRNA from 1 species
UACGUAGGGGGCAAGCGUUAUCCGGAUUUACUGGGUGUAAAGGGAGCGUAGACGGCUUUGCAAGCCAGAUGUGAAAGCCCGGGGCUCAACCUCGGGACUGCAUUUGGAACUGUAUGGCUGGAGCGUCGGAGAGGCAGGCGGAAUUCCUAGUGUAGCGGUGAAAUGCGUAGAUAUUAGGAGGAACACCAGUGGCGAAGGCGGCCUGCUGGACGAUGACUGACGUUGAGGCUCGAAAGCGUGGGGAGCAAACAGG